GACGAACCGUGCGAACGUUGUUCGGAAUCACUGGGUUUAAAGGGUGCGUAGGUGGGCAGGUAAGUCAGUGGUGAAAUCUCCGGGCUUAACCCGGAAACUGCCGUUGAUACUAUUUGUCUUGAAUAUUGUGGAGGUAAGCGGAAUAUGUCAUGUAGCGGUGAAAUGCUUAGAUAUGACAUAGAACACCAAUUGCGAAGGCAGCUUACUACACAAUCAUUGACACUGAGGCACGAAAGCGUGGGGAUCAAACAGG
rnacentral:rRNA from 1 species